AUUGAACGCUGGCGGCAGGCCUAACACAUGCAAGUCGAACGGUAACAGGAAGAAGCUUGCUUCUUUGCUGACGAGUGGCGGACGGGUGAGUAAUGUCUGGGAAACUGCCUGAUGGAGGGGGAUAACUACUGGAAACGGUAGCUAAUACCGCAUAAUGUCGCAAGACCAAAGAGGGGGACCUUCGGGCCUCUUGCCAUCGGAUGUGCCCAGAUGGGAUUAGCUAGUAGGUGGGGUAACGGCUCACCUAGGCGACGAUCCCUAGCUGGUCUGAGAGGAUGACCAGCCACACUGGAACUGAGACACGGUCCAGACUCCUACGGGAGGCAGCAGUGGGGAAUAUUGCACAAUGGGCGCAAGCCUGAUGCAGCAAUGCCGCGUGUAUGAAGAAGGCCUUCGGGUUGUAAAGUACUUUCAGCGGGGAGGAAGGGAGUAAAGUUAAUACCUGUGCUCAUUGACGUUACCCGCAGAAGAAGCACCGGCUAACUCCGUG
rnacentral:rRNA from 1 species